CUGCAACUCGCCUACACGAAGCUGGAAUCGCUAGUAAUCGCGGAUCAGCACGCCGCGGUGAAUACGUUCCCGGGCCUUGUACACACCGCCCGUCACACCAUGAGAGUCUGUAACACCCAAAGCCGGUGGGAUAACCUUUAUAGGAGUCAGCCGUCUAAGGUAGGACAGAUGAUUAGGGUGAAGUCGUAACAAGGUACC
rnacentral:rRNA from 1 species